CAUAGAGGCGACACAAUGCUGAUUUUAAAAAUACUCUUCAGUGGAUGGAACUUGGAGCAGUGCAGUGUUAUUUCCAUUGUUACAUGGACAGAAGAUAUUACCUUUGUUAGCAUAGAAAUAAGACUGAUGGCUCCUACUCUACUCCUCUAUUUCCAUGCAUUUCCAGCUAAACUAAAAGGGUAAGAUUAUUUCACAAAUAUUACAGGAGACGCAGAACAUAUUCAUGAGCUGCCAAGAGAAGCAUCAGCAGGCUCUGCAAUGCCAGAGACACAGGAAGGGCGGAUGCA